CAGUAGCGUAUAUUAAAGUUGUUGCAGUUAAAAUGCUCGUAGUUGAAGUUCGGAUGCAGCAGAGCUUGGGAACGCUGUUAUGGUGCUUCCGUUGCUUUUGCUUGUCCACAGUGCGUUGCAAGUACGUAUGUGCUUGUGCGUGCAUUUUACUUUGAGAAACAUAGGGUGUUCCACGCAUGUUACGGCAUGAAUAUUCCAGCAUGGGAUAAUCUGGUACGACUUCCAAUCUGCCAUUUUGGUUCGUAGGUUGGAAGUAAUGAUUAAUAGGGACUGUCGGGGGCAUUGGUAUUUGACUGUCAGAGGUGAAAUUCUUAGAUUCGUUGAGGACCAACCACUGCGAAAGCAUUUGUCAAGGAUGUCUCCAUUAA
rnacentral:rRNA from 1 species